GACGAACGCUGGCGGCGUGCCUAACACAUGCAGGUCGAACGGAAAGGUCCUUCCUUUGUGCGGUGGUCGAGUUGACACCGGGUGAGUAACACGUGGGUUACCUGUCCUUCUCUUUGGCAUAGAUUAAUGCAACUGGGGCUCAUACCGGAUAGGAGCUACUGCCGAAUGGUGGGGGCGGGAUAGUUUAGGUGGUUGGGGAUGGACUCGCGGCUCAUCAGCAUGAUGCUGGGGUAGUGGCUUAGCAAGGCUUUGACGGGUAGCCGGACUGGGAGGGUGACCGGGCACAGUGGGACUGAGAUACAGCCCAGGCUCCGACGGGUGGCAGCAGUAGGGGAUGUUGCACUAUGGGCGGAAGCCUGAUGCAGCAACGCCGCGUGCGGGAUGACGGCCUUCGGGUUAUAGUCCUCUUGCGCCUGUAGCGAAGCGUAAAUGACGGUAAUGGGUAGAGGAAGACCGGCUAACUACGUU
rnacentral:rRNA from 1 species